AUGAAUGGCCGCGGUACUUUGACCGUGCUAAGGUAGCGCAAUCAAUUGGCUUUUAAUUGAAGUCAGGUAUGAAUGGAAUUACGGGGUUGAGCUGUCUCUAAAUUAUUAUAUCGAAUUUACUAUAUAGGUGAAAAAGCCUAUAAAAUGAAAAAGGACGAUAAGACCCUUAGAGUUUAUCUAAAAUUGAAAAUAGUUUAAUUUUCAAAGCAGUUUAGUUGGGGCAACACAGGAGCAAAAAAAAAAUCUCCUAUAAAUAACAAAUCGAUUAUUUUAGAUAUGAAUAAACUACCUUAGGGAUAACAGCAUAAUUUUAUAAAUAAGUUUGUGACCUCGAUGUUGGACUAGGAAACUUAAAGGCUAGCCGCCUUUGAGGUAAGUUCUGUUCGAAC
rnacentral:rRNA from 1 species